ACCUGCUGGGCUGGAGCUGGAGCUGGAGCUGCGAAUUCGGAGUCCCGGUUCCCUGUGCCACCUGGCGAGCUCAGCAAACUAAAAGUCUCUUUGUCUUCAUCGUUUCCGGCACUGAUGUGAGCACAUCAUAAGCACAAGACCUGGACACCUUUACAAUCAGAGGUAGCAUCUGUCUGGAACUGUAUCUUGACUCUCACUGGUGCUUUUCCUUUGGUUGAUGCAAAGCUUUUGAAUCCUUUAGGGAGAUGUCAUUGGCCUAGGACUGGAGCUCUGGAUCUGACCGGAGCAAAGAGGAAGCACGCAAAUCCGGACAUGACGACGAGGAGGCAGUAGAGACCCAUCCUCAACUACCCCCUGAGUGCCGAUCCCACCUGUGAAAGGGGAGGAGCAGAUCUGGGGAAGGGAUAUGCCCAGAGGAAAUCAACAAGACCAAAGAGACGUCAGAGUCCUGAUGGCCAAAAUCAGACACCAGCUUUCCUGAGAAGGCAGAAGAGAGAGCCCCAUAGAAGCAGUGGGGGCUCAGAAGGUGCCCUUGUUGAGCUGCUUGAGGCAGAAGGCACAGACGAAGUGCUCGGGGUGGAACUUCUUGGCCAUGGCGGUGAUGCAGCGGCCGGUGAUGGGCUUCUGGCAGCCAGAACACAGCGAGCCGCGCCGCUCGUGGUAGUGCACCUCACAGUAGGGCUGCCCGUCGUGCUCGAAGAAGCUGCCGUUCACGAAUGGCGUGAAGCAUUCCUGCCAGGCGGAGAGAGGGGCUCAGGGAGCUGCCCCUCGGGCUAGAGCUGCACCCUGUGUGAUGGGGCCGAGGUGGGCAUAGUCGGCACGCUCGGAGUGACUCCUACUUGCUAGGCGUUUCCCAUGUGCCGUGUUGUCCUAAACGCUCAUUUUUCAUUUUUAUUUUAUUAAAUAAAUUUUUUUUGUAGA
rnacentral:lncRNA from 1 species